CCUACGGGAGGCAGCAGUGGGGAAUUUUGGACAAUGGGGGCAACCCUGAUCCAGCCAUGCCGCGUGAGUGAAGAAGGCCUUCGGGUUGUAAAGCUCUUUCGGCCGGGAAAAAAUCGCAUGGGCUAAUACCCUGUGUGGAUGAUGGUACCGGAAUAAGAAGCACCGGCUAACUACGUGCCAGCAGCCGCGGUAAUACGUAGGGUGCGAGCGUUAAUCGGAAUUACUGGGCGUAAAGCGUGCGCAGGCGGUUUGAUAAGACAGGCGUGAAAUCCCCGGGCUCAACCUGGGAACUGCGUUUGUGACUGUCUCACUAGAGUACGGCAGAGGGGGGUGGAAUUCCACGUGUAGCAGUGAAAUGCGUAGAGAUGUGGAGGAACACCAAUGGCGAAGGCAGCCCCCUGGGUCGAUACUGACGCUCAUGCACGAAAGCGUGGGGAGCAAACAGGAUUAGAUACCCUGGUAGUCCACGCCCUAAACGAUGUCAACUAGGUGUUGGGUGGGUAAAACCAUUUAGUACCGGAGCUAACGCGUGAAGUUGACCGCCUGGGGAGUACGGCCGCGAAGGUUAAAACCUGAAAGUGAAGUUGACGNGUUGAGAGNGCGAGACGACGACGAGGAGAGG
rnacentral:rRNA from 1 species